rnacentral:rRNA from 1 species
GACGAACGCUGGCGGCGUGCUUAACACAUGCAAGUCGAACGAUGAUCAGGAGCUUGCUCCUGUGAUUAGUGGCGAACGGGUGAGUAACACGUGAGUAACCUGCCCCUGACUCUGGGAUAAGCGUUGGAAACGACGUCUAAUACUGGAUAUGAUCACUGGCCGCAUGGUCUGGUGGCGGAAAGAUUUUUUGGUUGGGGAUGGACUCGCGGCCUAUCAGCUUGUUGGUGAGGUAAUGGCUCACCAAGGCGACGACGGGUAGCCGGCCUGAGAGGGUGACCGGCCACACUGGGACUGAGACACGGCCCAGACUCCUACGGGAGGCAGCAGUGGGGAAUAUUGCACAAUGGGCGAAAGCCUGAUGCAGCAACGCCGCGUGAGGGAUGACGGCCUUCGGGUUGUAAACCUCUUUUAGUAGGGAAGAAGCGAAAGUGACGGUACCUGCAGAAAAAGCACCGGCUAACUACGUG